rnacentral:rRNA from 1 species
GUCUAUGGCCAUACCACCCUGAAUUCUGAUCUCAGAAUCUAAGCAGGGUUGGGCCUGGUUAGUACCUAGAUGGGAGAAGUUAGAGGUUUCCCAGAUCUGGCUGAGUUGAAGACA